UACGGAGGGAGCUAGCGUUGUUCGGAAAUACUGGGCGUAAAGCGCACGUAGGCGGCGCAGCAAGUCAGGGGUGAAAUCCCGGGGCUCAACCCCGGAACUGCCCUUGAAACUGCAGUGCUAGAAUCCUGGAGAGGCGAGUGGAAUUCCGAGUGUAGAGGUGAAAUUCGUAGAUAUUCGGAAGAACACCAGUGGCGAAGGCGACUCGCUGGACAGGUAUUGACGCUGAGGUGCGAAAGCGUGGGGAGCGAACAGG
rnacentral:rRNA from 1 species